AUGGGUGGCACCUAUGAGCAGACUAUCGAGCCAAACCAACAUGAAGUGUAUGGAGAGCAGGGUUUCAAUGUUCAACUUUCCUGCAACUACUCCUCUGCAUACAGUGUACUGUGGUAUAAACAGUAUGCGGGAUCAGCCCAAUUCCUCCUCUUCAUCCUGCACUCCACUGGGACUGGACAGAGAGCGGAUUCUCUUGACUCUCACUUCUCUGGUAAACUGAACAAAGAGAAGACCAGUGUGGAUCUGGAGAACUMCUCUGCUGAAGUGACAGACUCUGCUCUGUACUAYUGUGCUCUAUGUCGGAGYGGCAUAGGCUAA